UACGAAGGGGGCUAGCGUUGCUCGGAAUUACUGGGCGUAAAGCGCACGUAGGCGGAUUUGUAAGUCAGGGGUGAAAUCCCGGGGCUCAACCUCGGAACUGCCUUUGAUACUGCGAGUCUUGAGUCCGAUAGAGGUGGGUGGAAUUCCUAGUGUAGAGGUGAAAUUCGUAGAUAUUAGGAAGAACACCAGUGGCGAAGGCGGCCCACUGGAUCGGUACUGACGCUGAGGUGCGAAAGCGUGGGAGCGAACAGGAUGAGAAACCCGUAGGUACCAGAUCCAAGAUCCCGUCUGCUACCGAUG
rnacentral:rRNA from 1 species